rnacentral:rRNA from 1 species
UACGUAGGGUGCAAGCGUUAAUCGGAAUUACUGGGCGUAAAGCGUGCGCAGGCGGUGAUGUAAGACAGGGGUGAAAUCCCGGGGCUCAACCUCGGAACUGCAUUUGUGACUGCAUCGCUGGAGUGCGGCAGAGGGGGAUGGAAUUCCGCGUGUAGCAGUGAAAUGCGUAGAUAUGCGGAGGAACACCGAUGGCGAAGGCAAUCCCCUGGGCCUGCACUGACGCUCAUGCACGAAAGCGUGGGGAGCAAACAGG